rnacentral:misc_RNA from 1 species
UACGGAGGGUGCAAGCGUUGUCCGGAUUCAUUGGGUUUAAAGGGUGCGUAGGCGGUUUAUUAAGUCAGUGGUGAAAGUCUGCGGCUCAACCGUAGAAUUGCCACUGAUACUGAUAGACUUGAGUACAGUAUAGGUAGGCGGAAUUUAUGGUGUAGCGGUGAAAUGCAUAGAUACCAUAAAGAACACCGAUAGCGAAGGCAGCUUACUUGACUGUUACUGACGCUGAUGCACGAAAGCGUGGGGAGCGAACAGG